rnacentral:rRNA from 1 species
CCUACGGGAGGCAGCAGUAGGGAAUAUUGCUCAAUGGGGGAAACCCUGAAGCAGCCACGCCGCGUGGAGGAUGAAGGUUUUCGGAUUGGAAACUCCUUUUGUUAGAGAAGAUAAUGACGGUAUCUAACGAAUAAGCACCGGCUAACUCCGUGCCAGCAGCCGCGGUAAUACGGCGGGUGCAAGCGUUACUCGGAAUCACUGGGCGUAAAGAGCGCGUAGGCGGGAUAGCAAGUCAGAUGUGAAAUCCUAUGGCUUAACCAUAGAACUGCAUUUGAAACUGAUAUUCUAGAGUAUGGGAGAGGUAGGUGGAAUUCUUGGUGUAGGGGUAAAAUCCGUAGAGAUCAAGAGGAAUACUCAUUGCGAAGGCGACCUGCUAGAACAUAACUGACGCUGAUGCGCGAAAGCGUGGGGAGCAAACAGGAUUAGAUACCCGUGUAGUC